rnacentral:rRNA from 1 species
CCGGAUGCGGAUCUCGAAAGCCUGUCCCAGUUCGGACUGGAGUCUGCAACCCGACUCCACGAAGUUGGAUUCGCUAGUAAUCGCGCAUCAGCCAUGGCGCGGUGAAUACGUUCCCGGGCCUUGUACACACCGCCCGUCAAGCCAUGGGAGCCGGGGGCGCCUGAAGUCCGGGACCGCGAGGACCGGCCUAGGGCGAAACUGGUAACUGGGGCUAAGUCGUAACAAGGUACC